UUCACUCUACUUUUCACUAUAAUCAACCAUGUUUGUUCCAUUUUUCUCAACCAAAAACCAGUUACCAAAAAACAGAAAAUCAACUCCUUUGUUUUCUUUGAUUCCAACCACCACCGUCAACCACCAUCUACCACCACCACUGUCUACCACUUCCCACCUCCAUAUCACCACCGCGACUGCUGCUUAACACCGCCACAACCACCUUCCACCACCGCAAAUUCGCCCCUUUUCCUUCGACCCAAAAUCGGCCCGCAGUGCCGCACAUCCCCUGCCCUCAUCUUUCUUGUCUCCGCCGCACCACCCAGCAACACAACCAUCACACUCCUGCCACCCUCACCAGUUGUCAACCAACCUCCGCCCCAUAUUCUCCGGCAAACCGCCGCUGCCAUGCACCGCCCAGAAAUUCCCAACCCACGCUCAACUCCCCUGCUUUCCCCUCCUCUGAUUCGACCACCCUUUCCCCCUUCCCUCGUGUUCUGCCACCGCGAACCACCACCGCCGCCGUCUCCCGAUGCGGUUUCGGUGCUGCGCGCCGCCCAGGAAUCCAAGCCCAGCGCCACCUUCUUCCUCCCCUUCUCUUCUUUCUCUGUUUCGAGCCCCUCCCCUGCUUCCCUUGUUUUUGUUCGAAAGCCCCAGGGAACAAAACAAAAAAAAUAAAAAAAUAAACCCAAUUGGUUUUACUGCUUUUAACUUCUAAACCCAUUAUCCAAGCCAAGCCCAAUAUCCUUACCUUGACCCAAUACUUCAAAAAUUCGGGCUGGGAGCUCAGGAAGAACGAACCAACGAAAAGGCUUAGCAAAUUGUGGAAUUGAGGUACUGCUGGGGACCACAUAAACGAGUAGUGGCGAGGAAUUCACUAUUACCAUGUUCACCUAAGUUAAUGUUAAGUUGUAACAAGUUUAAGUAAAGAUUCUUGAUUAAGUUACGUAUUUUUAUUAAGGAAUUAAAAAGGAUUAUUAUGUUAAUUUUGGAGUUUAAUAGCUUAUGAUGGAUGGUUGCCUUGUAAUUCCCGAGAGGGAGUUACGACAGUAAU